UAACCUUAACUCUCUCAGAGGCAGGCUUCUGGGGGAACACAGGUGGAGCCUUCCCACUAAUUAGCUUAUCAAGCCCAGUAAAAAGUGGCGACAACAUUGCUGUUAUUUAGGGAACUCAUCAGCCUAGCUGUAGUUUAGCAGUUAAGAGUUUUUACAGCUUAAUUUCAAUAAGGGAUUUAAUUCUUUUCUUUGUUGGAAACUUCCUACAGGAUGGCUCAGAAGAGAAGCUGGGGGCUGAGGCUACCUGCCAAAAAAGAAUAUCCAACGUAACAUAGUGCUGUACAAUGGAGUUUACCCUGCAAGCUUCAAACUCUUCACUGUUCUUCCUAUCUCAGAGGAACCCUGUGAAGACAGGAGUAGGGAGAAGCUCGGCUUUUCAAGUUGGUGGUCUCCCUGAAAAGGAAAAGUCUGAAUUUUUGACAUUUCACAUAUUCUACCCACUCUGAGCCUUUGGUCACAUCCUAACUAACCUUUGUUCUGCAGAAAGGGAUAGAAUGAUACCCAUUUAAAAAAUGAAAAGAUUGAAAAGGUCGUACCAGCAGCACUCCACUGGAGUGUCUCAUGAGAGGCAUCAUGCAUUGCAAUGUGAUACUGUCCUGCACUCAUGCUGCAAAGCUUGUGACAGGAAAUAUAAAAUAAUGCCAAAUGAAAAUAUCCUUGUGACUACCGUGGCCUAGACUUAUAACAGAGGACAUAAAAGAAAGCUCAUUAGGAACCUCUCAAGCCAUACACAACAAUGAAACAAGAAAGAGAAUCAGGGAGUGUAUUUAACAGGAACUUCUCUCCCUUAGCAAGUAAAAGUGUGGUGGUGAAGUUGUGAGGUUUGAGAUCCUUUGAUUUGCUACUGAAAUUCUUGGCUGGCCUUAAUCUUUUUACAGGUCACUAAUAAUGUUGUUGGCUUUCUCUGCAAAUGUUGCAGACUUCAAAGCAAAUUUCUGAGGUAUGUCUUACUGUGAAACAGGAAACUGCUUGGAAAAUGUCACAAGAUGAGAAAUUGGGAAUUUAUUAGAUUGUGUCGCCACUGCCCCUGCUGGGUAAAAAAGUCAAAUGUGCUUGGAUAGAGGAUUAUAUAAUGUCUCUGUCUAAUGAGCACAGCAUUCAGUGGAUAAAAGCCACCAUACCGUACGCUAUUACAAUGAAAAGAGAUUCUCCUUUAGCUCAAGCGGCAGAGACUUGCGCUUCAGGAGUCAAAGGUCCUGAUUUCAAUCUGCGUAAAUGACAGUUAAAUCCAUGGAGUCAAGGCUACCGAUCACAAAGUUUUGUGUGUGUGGCCAGUUCAUUACGUUAAUAUAAAUUAGUUUAUCUGUAGUACUGAGGGUUCUCAACUUUUGCUCAUACCAGAAUUCUACACAUAACUACUUAUGCUCCCAAAUUCUUUGCCUUCGUUGCCGUUCAAAGGCAGUGCCAGGUUUUACGGUGUUUUAAACAAGCUGCUGCAGGUAUUGACUUAGUAGAAUAGGAACUGCUUUUCGUGCAUGAGUAGAACAUGACCGAAAAAUAAUCUCCUUAAGACAAUUACUAUAAAGAGAAAAUGGGAGCAAAUUUGUCAUCUUGUCUCCUGCAGGCAACUGUUGGAAACCCGCUUAGAAUCACUACCUGGCCCAAAACACUAAAUGUGACCCUCUGCACCUUAAUCUGAUUUUUGUUACUGCCAUGAUACUGGGACAAAAGGGGCACUGUUGGGUAUUGCACAUGUUUAAAUGAUACAUUAAGUUAGAUGCCAUUAGAAAUGAUGCAAGUGCAGUUUUGUACUGAAUUGCCACUUUCUGUUUAGAUGGAAAAUGCAUUUAUAGCGUCUUGAAUUAAAAAUACUCUUGCUCAGGACUUAAAUGCCUAGCACAUUAAUAAGAAUUUAAUAAAUAAGGUGAUUAUAAUGUAGAAUAAAUAUAUUCUUCUUCAUCAACUAAAGGAUUAGCUUGUUUUCCUGUAAUUUUAACAUGCACAUUGCAUCAUUUACUGUGCAUUAACUGCAUUUCUUAGCCAGAAAAGUUUUUGUGAGGACAUCACUAAAAAGCAGUAAACAGUAAUAAAAAUGGAGAAUUAGCACUCAAACUGUAGUAAAAGCAUCAUUAAAAUGUA